UACGAAGGGUGCAAACGUUGCUCGGAAUUAUUGGGCGUAAAGCGCACGUAGGCGGUGCCGUAAGUCGGAUGUGAAAUCCCUCGGCCUAACCGAGGAACUGCGUCCGAUACUGCGGUGCUUGAGGAUCAGAGGGGUGCAUGGAAUUUCCGGUGGAGCGGUGAAAUGCGUUGAUAUCGGAAGGAACUCCGGCGGCGAAAGCGAUGCACUGGCUGAUUUCUGACGCUGAGGUGCGAAAGCGUGGGGAGCAAACAGG
rnacentral:rRNA from 1 species